AUUCACCUGACGAGUCCCAAAUAGGACGAAACGCGCAUCAAACUGGAC
rfam:Schistosoma haematobium scaffold152_2, whole genome shotgun sequence.